GGAAGAAGAACUCUCACACACAGAAUGGAAUAGUCUGGAGGGUUGAAGAUAUGCCAGUGAUGGAGGCAAUGAGAGACAGCUACAUACUCACUCAUGGGUCCUGGGGGAGGUUCCUAAUUUAAGGGCCUUCACUCAGCCGCUUGUUCCACAGAUGCACCAUGCUGCGAAGGUCCUCAGGUAGCUCUUGGCAGCACAUCUGGAGCCUUCAACCAAGAGCUAGGACACUUAUUUGCCAGUCCAGUAAGACAGCCACCUCUUGGUGGAGUCUCCACAUGCAGUCAAGACUUCACAUGAUAAUAAGAGCAGCUGACAUGACUCCAGGAACUCCAGGGGCUCCAGGUUUCUAGGAUUGCUUUGCUUCUACAAGAGUCCAGAGCAAAGAGAGAAAGAAGUGAACUAAGUAUGUCCAGUGGAAUGGACCUGGCUGGUCUAGGAGUGUCUGUGAGAGAGGAGAGAACAGAAGAAGACAGAACACAGAGCAAACACAGUUUCAUGGUAUGGUGAACCCCAUUGGACAUGGUACAGCACCGGUAGGAACUACACAGGUGAGUUCCAAAAUUCU
rnacentral:lncRNA from 1 species